GACGUAGGGCGCGAGCGUUGUCCGGAAUUAUUGGGCGUAAGGAGCUCGUAGGCGGUUUGUCGCGUCUGCUGUGAAAACUCGGGGCUUAACCCCGGGCCUGCAGUGGGUACGGGCAGACUAGAGUGCGGUAGGGGAGACUGGAAUUCCUGGUGUAGCGGUGAAAUGCGCAGAUAUCAGGAGGAACACCGGUGGCGAAGGCGGGUCUCUGGGCCGUAACUGACGCUGAGGAGCGAAAGCAUGGGGAGCGAACAGG
rnacentral:rRNA from 1 species